UACGAGGGGGGCGAGCGUUGUUCGGAAUUAUUGGGCGUAAAGGGUGCGUAGGCGGUUUGGUAAGUCUGAUGUGAAAUCUAUGGGCUCAACUCAUAGUCUGCAUCGGAAACUGCCGGGCUUGAGUGUGGGAGAGGAGACUGGAAUUCAUGGUGUAGCAGUGAAAUGCGUAGAGAUCAUGAGGAAGACCAGUGGCGAAGGCGGGUCUCUGGACAGUUCCUGACACUGAGGCACGAAGGCCAGGGGAGCAAACGGG
rnacentral:rRNA from 1 species